CAGACGCAAACACCACACAAAAGCUUCUUGAAAGGUUUGUGAACCCUGUCUGCGUGUGGAUGCAGGAAAACGCAGUGUCUCACAUUUGUGUGCUUGUGUGUGUGUGUGUCAGAUCGACUAACCGCGGAUGGUUUGUUCCCUCCUGUGGUCUCUUCGACCCGUGAUGAGUUCCACAAAAGAUCAGGGCCGGCGGCCGGUGAUCGCGUCUUACCGGUGCGAUGAGCAUGUCUUUCCCGAGCUCCCCGCGACACAUCCCUUGUCGGUGCGGCGGCGGGAGGUGCAACGCUUCCUGAAGGGUGACGGCACCCUUGGCCGCCGUGCGUGGAACCCUGCUACGAAGGACGAGCUGCAUCCUUUUCCGCAGCCAGCCCUCAACAACACCACUACUUGCUACAACGGCGUCGACGUUGUUGCCACUCACUUCCCCGAGACAGUGAAGGGCACGGCAUUUCUGAAGAUGCAGGAGACAGUGUUGCCGGCGGUGUGGACGCACAACCGUGACCGGGCCUGCGCCUCUACAAAACGUCACACAUAUCGGUGUGAAGCGCUGGAGCGUCAGGAAGUUCCCCUUAGCUUUCUGGCCACUGUCAUUCGCGACGACAACAACCCUGAAAAGAGGCGCCGUCAGGAGGGGUGGUGUGCGAGCACGACGCUGGAGGGGUUCCGCGGCAACCGCCACGCAGCUCCCGCCGCCGAGGGCGUGUUUGACGCUAAGGCCCACCGUGAGCUGAACAAGAUGCUAACGGCAAGGCUUAGCGGGGGAUAUGUGAAGCCGUACAACCGAGUAAAACACCUGAACUCAUCGCUCGAAAAGCAGAAGGAGCUCCAGCAGAAGGCGGCUGCAGAUAGCCUCAUCAACCUCUACGCUUCCCAACCUGGUCCUGCAGCGUUCAAGAUGAGCAACGCUGACGAGUGGUGGGACAUUGAUCCUGUUGCUGUGACAGGCGACAUGAGGAAGCGCAUAGACGAGAUGAAGGCGAAUCCAUACAGCACAAUCUUUCGUAGCACUACCUUCGCGACCACCCCACCCAGGUCAUCGCGUGUAUAAUAGUACAAACUCAACGUCUUCAUGGCAUGCGCCUGGUUCCUAACCGUUUCUCACACCUGUGCUUGCCACAGCACCAAUGUGCGUGCAUGCACGUGUGUGCGUAUUCGUUUGCAUGUUAACCUCUUGAUGUACGUAUGUAUGCUCAUCUCUUUUUCUUCCUGCGUGCGCGAGUGUACGUGCCGGACGCCUCUUUCCUCCAAGGCGGCGCUUGCUCGAAGCACAAGCGUAAAAGAAGGACGAAACGAAACGAG
rnacentral:misc_RNA from 1 species